UGAGGAAUUUUGGACAAUGGGGGCAACCCUGAUCCAGCCAUGCCGCGUGAGUGAAGAAGGCCUUCGGGUUGUAAAGCUCUUUCGGCCGGGAAGAAAUCGCACAGGUUAAUACCCGGUGUGGAUGACGGUACCGGAAUAAGAAGCACCGGCUAACUACGUGCCAGCAGCCGCGGUAAUACGUAGGGUGCGAGCGUUAAUCGGAAUUACUGGGCGUAAAGCGUGCGCAGGCGGUUUGUUAAGAUAGGCGUGAAAUCCCCGGGCUCAACCUGGGAACUGCGCUUAUGACUGGCAGGCUAGAGUACGGCAGAGGGGGGUGGAAUUCCACGUGUAGCAGUGAAAUGCGUAGAGAUGUGGAGGAACACCAAUGGCGAAGGCAGCCCCCUGGGUCGAUACUGACGCUCAUGCACGAAAGCGUGGGUAGCAAAUA
rnacentral:rRNA from 1 species